ACGCUCGACACCUACGGGAGGCUGCAGUGGGGAAUAUUGCACAAUGGGGGAAACCCUGAUGCAGCGACGCCGCGUGAAGGAAGAAGUAUCUCGGUAUGUAAACUUCUAUCAGCAGGGAAGAAAAUGACGGUACCUGACUAAGAAGCCCCGGCUAACUACGUGCCAACAGCCGCGGUAAUCUGAGCGGGCUGGCAAGGC
rnacentral:rRNA from 1 species